rnacentral:rRNA from 1 species
AUUGAACGCUGGCGGCAUGCCUUACACAUGCAAGUCGAACGGCAGCGGACCUUCGGGUGCCGGCGAGUGGCGAACGGGUGAGUAAUAUAUCGGAACGUACCUUUCAGUGGGGGAUAACGUAGCGAAAGUUACGCUAAUACCGCAUAUUCUGUGAGCAGGAAAGCAGGGGAUCGCAAGACCUUGCGCUGAUUGAGCGGCCGAUAUCAGAUUAGCUAGUUGGUGAGGUAAAGGCUCACCAAGGCGACGAUCUGUAGCGGGUCUGAGAGGAUGAUCCGCCACACUGGAACUGAGACACGGUCCAGACUCCUACGGGAGGCAGCAGUGGGGAAUUUUGGACAAUGGGCGCAAGCCUGAUCCAGCCAUGCCGCGUGAGGGAAGAAGGUCCUCUGGAUUGUAAACCUCUUUUGGCAGGAACAAACCUGCGCUAUACGCGCAGCUGAGGGUACCUGCAGAAUAAGCACCGGCUAACUCCGU